GUCUUUAAUAGCUGAGUAGUACUCCAUUGUGUAAAUGUACCACAUUUUCUGUAUCCAUUACUCUGUUGAGGGACAUCUGGGUUCUUUCCAGCUUCUGGCUAUUAUAAAUAAGGCUUCUAUGAACAUAUUGGAGCAUGUGUCCUCAUUACAAUUUGGAACAUCUUCUGGGUAUAUGCUCAGGAGAGGUAUUGUUGGAUCUUCUGAUAGUACUAGGCCCAAUUUUCUGAGGAACCGCCAAACUUAUUUCCAGAGUGGUUAUACCAGCUUGCAAUCCCACCAGCAAUGGAGGAGUGUUCCUCUUUCUUCACAUCCUCACCAGCAUCUGCUGUCACCUGAAUUUUUGAUCUUAGCCUUUCUGACUGAUGUGAGGUGGAGUCUCAGGGUUGUUUUGAUUUGCAUUUCUCUAAUGAUUAAGGAUGUUGAACAUUUUUUCAGGUGGUUCUCAGCCAUUCGGUAGUCCUUAGUUGAUAUUCUUUGUUUAGUUUUGUACCCCAAGGAGGAAUGAAGUCCUAAUUACUGUACGUGUAUUAUUUCUGAAAUUUGGUGAAAACCUUUUACAUAAAAGCUACAAACAAAAAAAAUGACAAGUAAACAAUUUUGUACAAGAAAUUUAACACCUUUUGUAGAGUGUCAUUACAUUGCUGUUAUCAUUGGUACAAACUCUUUGUAGUUCCCUGACCAUCCCAUCAAUGUCUGCUUCCCUGAUCAUUCCAUCAAUCUCUUCAUCUGUUAAAUUCUCCCCAAGGUUUCUCAUCACAUCGCAAAGCUCUGCUGCACUAAUAUAGCCAUUACUAUCCUGAUCAAGCACACAGAAUGAUGCUCUGAUUUCUUCUUCACUGUCUAUGUCUCUAAUUUUUCUUGCCAUCAUAGUCAGAAGUUCAGGGAAGUCAACUGUUCCAAUACCAUCCGCAUCUACUUCAUUGAUCAUGUUCUGGAGUUUGCUUCUGUGGGGUUCUGCCCCAGACACCUAUGAAAUUGUGGGUACUGUGUUCCUAAUGAAGAGAUUUGGAAAACACACUGAGUCCUUAAGGUGCUGAUUCUACACAGUGUAUGCCAUCUGAGCUUUGAUCCCCUUUUUCUUAUGCUGGAGUUACAGAUGUGUGUCACAGUGCCUGUCUCAGUAAAUUAUAUCUUUACAACUAUGAACUGUUUGUAAAAACCGUGAAGCUUUGCUAUAUUCUUUCCUGUUCAACACGGUUACAAUUUCUCCAGUAAUUUUAACUUUAUUAAUACAAUUGCUGAGGUUUUAUUUAGGUUUAUCAGUAGUGUCACUUGCAGCAUCAGUAUGAAAUUGGAAAUCUGAAUAUGACAACAUUAUCUUUCUUUAGAUUUUAUCAGAAUUUAGUUUGUUUUGUAGAUUUUAUCUUGGAGGUAUUUGAUCAUUACCGUAGAUUGAUGCUUUAUUUAUUCAGGCAUUUUUAAAUUAAUUUUUAAAAUUUUAUUCAUUUUAAAAAAGAAUUAUGUAAUAUAGAACUUCGAAUUAAAAAGUAAAUAUUAUUAAUUCAGAAUAUGUCAGAGGUAAUUUUUCAAGCAAAUGUCACAUUGAGGAAUAUUUAUGAAAGGUAGUUUAAUGAAAAUUUUGAAAUUAUAUUAUGUCAUGGAUGUUAAUAGAAAAUCAACCAACUCUGGUAAAAAACAAAACAAAAACGAAUAAACAG
rnacentral:lncRNA from 1 species